GCUUGUCUCAAAGAUUAAGCCAUGCAUGUCUAAGUAUAAAUAAAUUUAUAUUGUGAAACUGCGAAUGGCUCAUUAAAUCAGUUAUGAUCUACGUGACAUAUUCUUUACUACUUGGAUAACCGUGGUAAUUCUAGAGCUAAUACAUGCAAAAAAACCCAGACUUACGAAUGGGUGCACUUAUUAGAUAAAGCCAACGCUGGGUAAAACCAGUUUCCCUUGGUGAUUCAUAAUAAUUAAGCGGAUCGCAUGGCCUUGUGCUAGCGACAGUCCACUCGAUUUUCUGCCCUAUCAUGGUUGAGAUUGUAAGAUAGAGGCUUACAAUGCCUACAACGGGUAACGGGGAAUUAGGGUUCGAUUCCGGAGAGGGAGCCUGAGAAACGGCUACCACAUCCAAGGAAGGCAGCAGG
rnacentral:rRNA from 1 species